GAGUUAACAUAUGAAACAAUUAGAAGGUUUUUGGCCAACUGAGACCCACCCAUUUCACCCGGCUCCUUCCAAGCACUCUAUUAAAAUAACAGCGAAGGAGAAAGGCAUAAACCACCACGACCAACAUCAACAAAGACAGGAGAGGUGGGGAGAGCAGUAGAAAACAAAUUUUUGAAACAGGAAAAGCAGGAGGAGGACCAGAGGCAGAGGAAGCUGGACAGAAGAGACUACAGGGCUACAUGGAGAAGGAAGCCAAUUGGUCUUAUGGAACCUGAGAGCCUUGUGACCUGGAAACACCAACUAUAGCAAUGGGUGAGAGUGAGACACAGAACUGAAUAAAGGGCAACUGUCUGGAAACUUGUAUGUGAGACCCUCCGACCCUGAGCCCAGAAGGUCCUGGCAUGUCUUGGCAAGGAAAAACGUCUCCUGAGCUAUUACGUUGAAACAAACAUGGAGUGUGAGCAGAGAAGGGGCUUCUGAAGGUGUCUUGAGUAUUAUAAGGAGAAACAAUCUAAGGCCUUACUAAAUUCCUGCUUUGGCUCGGUCAUUAUCUUCUAGAAUAUCUGCUGUAGAAGAACAAAAUUUGUCACCCCCAGAUUAUUUCAAGCUGAAAACAAUCAAGGCCCAAAAGACUCAGGAAGAAACUUUGAUCUUCUCCCUAACAGCCUGAAGAAUUUAGAUAGAGGGUAUAUUACAGGAACAUCACCAGAUAAUAAAUAUGGACUAGCUGUGGUGGGGAAAUGCUUAGAGACCAGAGUCCACUCUGUGUCCCACGGUCUCUGCUAACCCAGCAAACAUUUGUUUACCAAAUUUUUGCUUUUCCACCUCCAUGUGAACUGCCUUCUACACCUUGAAGUCUUACCCCUAACAUCCUCUUCUGUCUUUAGCUGAAGAUGGUGUUUAAGGUGAGUAACCAUGGCCACCAUUCUGGUCAUUUUGGUGAGUUAGUCUGCUGGGUCUCUUCCAUGUAUACAUGUUAUUAAACUUUUGAUUUUUCUCCUGUUAAUCUGUCUCAUGUCAGUUUAAUUCUGAGACCAGCCAGAAGAACCUAGAGGGAAGAGGAAAAUUUCUUUCUCCCCUACACUAACCAGGAAGCAGGAGAAAGAUGGAGGUGAAAUGAGCGGCUAUAAUUUCAUAACUUUGGACAUCAGGAAAAGACUAUAGAGCCUUUUCAGAACAGGAAAAGAUAUUUCAAUUGAAGUAUAGGAAAAUAUUCCUAAAGACCAUUAAUAAGAAUAGAAGAUGUGAAAACAGAGAGCCCCUAAAUCCAGGACUGAAAUGUUGAUGGGCAAGAAGAGUCAAAGGAUUUCACACAUUCCAGAGUCAGUGUGUUUGGCCUGACUUCCUGGAUCUGGUGUUUCGUAUAUGCUUUGUCUCUUUUCCACCAACUCUAAAUGUUCUUACAAAUAAAAAAUGAUCAGUGGGAAUAGCCAUUAAUAUCCUUCAGAGGAAAUCCUUAAAAAUCAAUAAAAAACACUGUCAGGGUAGUUCUCCCAGAGCUAUAAUUCUGUGCUUAAAAUUUAAAAGCUUUGUUAUACUCCGAUGCUAUGGUAAAACUCUAAUAGAAAAUUUUUCUUAGAGCAUCCAUUACUUCACGCCUCCCUAUUCUGUAAACAGUAGAGGCAGAGU